GGGCAGAGCCGGCUGCCCCAGGUUCUCCCGCCUUGGCUGGCUCUUGCUCCUCUUCCCAGCCGCCAGGCUCCCCUGCUGUUCACUCGGAGGUGAAGGAAAGCGUCACCCAACCUCACGAACAGGAAAAAGCGAGGGAAUAUCACCUCCAUGAAGACAAGCACUGUGUUUUGUUCACGGCGGCAACUCCCAGAAGAGUGUGAGCGCCCAGCGGGGCCCGCUUAUCCAUUAGGCAGUAUGGAGGGUCCGCGAUGGUCUUAGGGGCCCAAGAAUAUGUUUUAAUUACUUUUAAAAUCAGAAUAAAAGUGUAAUGAUAGUAUAUAAUACUGAAUCCAGCCUGGAUUAUAGUCGUCCUUAUACCAACACAGGCGGAAGGAGCGCAGUAAGCUAAGUGCCUGGGACCCACGAGUCUAAUAAGCCGUGGCGCUCAGAAAUGAUUAAGUGAAUGAGUAACUGUGAAGGAAUCGAAUCUUCUGUCAAGCCUUGCCGAGAGGGCAAGGGCACUAUGGCCUGAACCUGAGGCUGCAGAGGGUGGAAGCAGCUUAGUGGGCCCCCUGUAAUGAAACCUGCUGCACAGUCACACCCAAACUCAGGAAGCGGGUGAAACCCCACUUAGACAAAGUAAUAAAAUAUUGUAAUUAACUGUUAGUCACCUGACCCCGUCCCAGACAGAAAAGGAGUUUGAGAAAAAUGUUAAAAAAAAAAAAAACAAAAAAAACCAAACAAACAACUUAUCUUUGGGAUUCAACAACAUAAGGAGAUCACGUAUAAACAAUGAACUUUCUCACUUGAUUGGAUAAAAGCUAAAUCCUAGGGACAUGCCUUAGUUAAUUUCUUUUUGCUGAGGAAGAUUAGCCCUGAGCUAACAUCUGUGCCGGUCUUCCUCCACUUUACGUGUGGGACACGGUCACAGAGUGGCCAAGGAGUGGUGUUAUGUUUGCACACGGAAUGCGAAUCUCAAACCCGGCUGCCAAAGCAGAGCACGCUGAAUUUAACCACUAUGCCCUGGGUGGCCCCCCUCGUGAAAAAUUUUACAGUAUUAGAAGAGGUUCCUCUGCAUAUCUGUACAGUUCUAUUUCUCUGAGCCCCAGACUGUGCUUUAAAAAAAUUCUACCACUGAAAUAAGUAGUAACAAAUGUGCAGAAUUUGAUGAGGUACAGUCCUGGUGAGUCAAGACCAAAUACAAUUCCGGGAUAAACAAAAGAUUUUUGUCAUUUGAGACAGCCUGUAGAAGCCAAAUGAAAAUUUUGGUUCUUCAGAUAGUGUUGUUGUGUUGAUGUAUGAUGACUCAUUCAGUUGGGUGCAAAUUAAAAGUGUCCCAGUCUUCAUAUUACAUGCUUAUUUCUGAAGAACCAUUUCCUUGUGAGGUUUGUGUAGUUUAUUAAACUUCCUGGUACUUCUCAGUGGUACAUGUGAUUCUUUGAUAAAUGAUAUGCUUACUUACAACUUGUAUUAAUUUGUCUUUCUCACUAGAGAGGGAGGCUGUCCCUUUUCUCUUUUUUUUUUAAUUUACCACUUUGCCCCAAGCCUACCACUGAUAGCACUAGAUUAAUCUUACCUCAAUAGUUGCAGAUAUUUUUCUUUUAGAGGAAGUGUUAAAACUUGGCAUUUUCAAUGAGUUUUAUGUAUAAUUUUUAUUUGAUCUUGCAUUGUGUACAUAGGGUAAUAUUAAUACUUUAUUGAUAAAUAGAUACAAAGCUGAACAGAUUGAGUCAUAACUGAUAAAACUAGAAUUCAGUUUCUGGGGUUAAAUUUAGGCAGUAAAUUCAUGCUUGGACCCCUCUCUAUUCCACACAGCAAGAACAAUAACGGUUAAAGAUAUAAAGGGAAAAAAAGAAAUACCUGGACUCAAAAACAAGAGAAACAUCUCAGCAGAUCAAAUAUGAGGAACACAAAGCCUUGUGGAGUGGUCAGGUGCUUGCUGGGCUGCAAGUCCAAAAGCAGGCAAUGGUGGCACAUUCUAUGGGGUAAGGAGCCCUGAAAGUGCUCCACAUGAACCAUGGGGAGACAGGCCAAACUGACUGCCUGAGGUCAGCCCUCCCUCCAAAAAUCUUCAAAUGUCAUUUGCUUUUGACCCACAUAGCCUUGGACUGCAGCUUUAUAAAUAGGGAGGCAGCAGAGAGGGCAACCACUAGACUUUCCACUGUUGUGGACUGGAAUGGUGAUAUCCCCAAAUCACUGCAGGACAGGAGCCCUAAAUCACCGCUAGCAGCCCUAGUUUUGGCCAAGGGGCCAGGAAAUGCAAUUAAAAACCCCAUUCUUAGGGAGAGGGUGAGGGAAAGCUUGACAGAGAGAUGAGCUAAAACGAAAAUAAAAACCCUCCCACUCAAAUGAGCCUACAAACCCAAAUUCUAGCAAACAUGUAGAAAUAAAAAAUUUAAAUUCUGCCAGCCAAAUUAAAAAUUGGAAUUGGAAUUAACUGCAGAAAGAAUUUUAUAGAACAGUUUUAAUACAUUAUUAAAAAACAGGCAGAAAUGAAUCAAAAAUAGAUGGAUAUAAAAAAAUCUUGAAAAUAAAAAAUGUAGUUAUGCAAAUAUAAAAUUCAAUAGAUGAGAUUAAACUCCAAUGUGGACACAGUCACAAGAGGAAUUCUGAGGGUAAAAAAAGAAUAGAUGAAAUGACAGAAAGGCAAAUAUUUUAACAGAAAGUAGCUUCAUAUGUCAAAUAAAAUUUUUUAAAAAUAGCUGAAAAUUUUCCAGAAUUGAAGAUGGACAAGGAUCUUCAGAUUAAAGUGUGCUCUGGAAAACAAGCAGGAUAAACAAUAAACUCAGAGUAGUAAAACUAUAGAAUAUUAAGGAUAAAAAUCUUAAAUGCUAACAGAUUAUCUUCAAGUGAACAAUUAGACUGACACUAGGCAUCUUAUCUAUAACAAAAGGGUCCAGAAGAUAAUGGAGUGUAUCUUAAACAUAUUGAGAAUUAAAAAAGAAAGAGAAAACUUUCAAUCUAGAAUUUCAAACCCAGCGUGAAGGAUUCAGUUUAUGACCUCUCAGACAACAGUUUCCUUAACUUGGAUGUACAACAUAGCACCACUCAGUGAUGGGCAAGUUAUUCCUAUCACUUUAAAUAACUAGUACUAUAUAUAAGCUCUUUCAAUUAACUUUAUUGAAUAGCCAAAUUGAUAAGUUAGCACAGUUCAAACAAUUAUUUGCAUGGGUUACAAAUGACUUUUUUUUUUUUACAGGAAUAAAACAGUGAAAAUUACAAACUGUAAAAAGGAAGACAAAUCUUGUCUCUAACAUUUCAGAGAAGCAAGAUUUAACACACCACAUUGAAGAGCAAUACAUAUUUGAAUUUGAGAACAAGAAUUUAAUGUUACAGUAUUAUACACUACUUUACAAAAUUAAAAUUUCUAUAUAAGGAUUUUAUUUGUAAAGUUAACAAAAUCUUGAAAUCACAUUUGGUGGUCCCCUAGAUAAUAGCUGUUAUGCAUCUUUGAUAAGAAAUAAAUCUUUUAUUCUAAUUAUUGUAAAACAGUCUAUUAGACUCAAUACAUUAAAUUAAAACAAUGAAAUAUAUGCAAACUAAAAUAAAUGGUACAGCUUGAGUGAAUAUUAAUGUCAGACUUACAGAAAUGUUAUUUUAAAAAUCCUAGAAAUUAGAAAAAUAGAGUAUUUUUAUGGUAGAUCUGCCAUGCUCAGAUUUAAAUACCAAGAUUGCCCUUGUCUGUUACUUUAGUAGUUGUAGAUCUGUAGAAAAUUCAAGGAUCUUUCAUAAUUUACAACUACGAUAAAAAAAAUAUGGCAUAGUGUAAAUAUUAGUUGCUUUACAUUAAAAAGAAAUACAAGAUGAUAUAGCAGGUAGUACCCUACUGCAAAAAACAAAAACAAAACAAACUAAAAAA